rnacentral:rRNA from 1 species
GCAGAGACAGGUGCUGCAUGGCUGUCGUCAGCUCGUGUUGUGAAAUGUUGGGUUAAGUCCCGUAACGAGCGCAACCCUUGUCCUUAUUUGCCAGCGAGUAAUGUCGGGAACUCUAAGGAGACUGCCGGUGACAAACCGGAGGAAGGUGGGGACGACGUCAAGUCAUCAUGGCCCUUACGGGUAGGGCUACACACGUGCUACAAUGGCCGGUACAAAGGGCUGCGAGCUCGCGAGAGUCAGCGAAUCCCCUAAAGCCGGUCUCAGUCCGGAUCGGAGUCUGCAACUCGACUCCGUGAAGUCGGAAUCGCUAGUAAUCGUGAAUCAGAAUGUCACGGUCGAAUACGUUCCCGGGCCUU